rnacentral:rRNA from 1 species
CCUCGGAUCAGGUAGGAAUACCCGCUGAACUUAAGCAUAUCAAUAACGGAGGA